UCCUGGUUAUCUCUGCUGGUAGAGCGCUCCGCUGAAAAUGGAGAGGUCCCCGGUUCGAUACCGGGACCAGGCG
rnacentral:tRNA from 2 species